rnacentral:rRNA from 1 species
GACGAACGCUGGCGGCGUGCUUAACACAUGCAAGUCGAACGCUGAAGCUUGGUGCUUGCACUGGGUGGAUGAGUGGCGAACGGGUGAGUAAUACGUGAGUAACCUGCCCUUGACUCUGGGAUAAGCCUGGGAAACUGGGUCUAAUACUGGAUACGACAUGUCACCGCAUGGUGGUGUGUGGAAAGGGUUUUACUGGUUUUGGAUGGGCUCACGGCCUAUCAGCUUGUUGGUGGGGUAAUGGCUCACCAAGGCGACGACGGGUAGCCGGCCUGAGAGGGUGACCGGCCACACUGGGACUGAGACACGGCCCAGACUCCUACGGGAGGCAGCAGUGGGGAAUAUUGCACAAUGGGCGGAAGCCUGGUGCAGCGACGCCGCGUGAGGGAUGACGGCCUUCGGGUUGUAAACCUCUUUCAGCACGGAAGAAGCGAAAGUGACGGUACGUGCAGAAGAAGCGCCGGCUAACUACGUG